rnacentral:rRNA from 1 species
AAUCAACGCUGGCGGCGUGCCUCAGACAUGCAAGUCGAACGCGAAAGUCUCCUUCGGGGGACAAGUAGAGUGGCGCACGGGUGAGUAACACGUAGGUAAUCUACCUUCGGAUGGGGAAGUAACAACCGGAAACGGUUGCUAAUACCGCAUAAUGCAACGGCACCUAAUGGUGACAGUUGUUAAAGCGGGGGAGUCGAAAGACCUCGCGUCUGAAGAGGAGCCUGCGGCGGAUUAGCUAGUUGGAAGGUAAUGGCUUACCAAGGCUACGAUCCGUAACCGGCCUGAGAGGGCGGUCGGUCACACUGACACUGACAUACGGGUCAGACUCCUACGGGAGGCAGCAGUCGGGAAUUUUGGGCAAUGGGC